rnacentral:rRNA from 1 species
CCCUUAGAUGUUCUGGGCCGCACGCGCGCUACACUGACGAAUUCAACGAGAUUAUAACCUUUGCUGGGAGGCAUGGGUAAUCUUGUGAACGUUCGUCGUGAUGGGGAUAGAUUAUUGCAAUUGUUAAUCUUCAACGAGGAAUUCCUAGUAAACGCAAGUCAUCAGCUUGCAUUGAUUACGUCCCUGCCCUUUGUACACACCGCCCGUCGCACCUACCGAUUGAAUGGUCCGGUGAAUUCUUCGGACUGCGGCUUUGACUCGAUUUCGGUCGAGGCGUUGCUGCGGGAAGUUGAUUAAACCUUACCAUUUAGAGGAAGGUGAANUCGUAACA